UGGGGAAUAUUGCACAAUGGGCGCAAGCCUGAUGCAGCCAUGCCGCGUGUAUGAAGAAGGCCUUCGGGUUGUAAAGUACUUUCAGCGGGGAGGAAGGGAGUAAAGUUAAUACCUUUGCUCAUUGACGUUACCCGCAGAAGAAGCACCGGCUAACUCCGUGCCAGCAGCCGCGGUAAUACGGAGGGUGCAAGCGUUAAUCGGAAUUACUGGGCGUAAAGCGCACGCAGGCGGUUUGUUAAGUCAGAUGUGAAAUCCCCGGGCUCAACCUGGGAACUGCAUCUGAUACUGGCAAGCUUGAGUCUCGUAGAGGGGGGUAGAAUACCAGGUGUAGCGGUGAAAUGCGUAGAGAUCUGGAGAAAUACCGGUGGCGAAGGCGGCCCCCUGGACGAAGACUGACGCUCAGGUGCGAAAGCGUGGGGAGCAAACAGG
rnacentral:rRNA from 1 species